ensembl:lncRNA
CGCCCCGCGGGGCGGGAACCCUGAGGGGCCGGGAGGGGUCCGGAGCACCGGGAGCGGCUGAGGGAGCCGGGAAAGGGUCUGGAGCACCGGGAGCGGCUGAGGGAGCCGGGAAAGGGCUCAGCCUGGAGAAAAGGAGGCUCGGGGGGACCUUGUGGCUCUCCUCUGACAGGAGGGAGCAGCCGGGGGGGGUCGGGCUUUGCACCCAGGGAACAGGGACAGGACAAGGAUGGCCUCAAGCUGGGCCGCAGGAGGUUCAGGUUGGGUACUGGGGAACAUUUCUUCCCUGAAGAGGUGGUCAGGCCCUGGCACAGCUGCCCAGAGCAGUGGGCAUGGAGUGGUGGAAUCACCAUUCCUGAACGUGUUCAAAAUAUGUGUGGAUUAUGGCACCUGGGGACAUGGUUUCAUAUGGCAAUGCUGGGGGAGUGGUGGGACUCAGUGAUCUCAGAGGGCUUUUUCGACCUUAAUGAUGCUGUGGUUCCAUGGUUCUCGGUUCCCUGCUGCAGUGUUCUGGAAGCAGAACUCUCAUAGGGUGCUGGGCACAGGCCUCCCCUCCUCUGGUGUGGGUCCUGCCGGGUGAACCCCUGGAACUGGCUUUGCCAGGGCUGCAGGAGCCAAGCUGUGAGCCUGCUUUAGAUCCCAGAAUUUUUAAAUGAAUACUAUUUUUGAGCUCUUCCCACACACACAACUCAACAUCUCCGGCAGAUCGCCUCCAGCUGACAGCCCUGAGCCGCCUCCGCUCCCCUCCUGCCCUUGAGCUUGCUUCCAAUCCUGCCUGGGGAUGAAUUUUAAAACCUGGAUCCAUCCAUAUAGUCAGAACCAGGGUCAGUCUGUUUGAAGGCUGUACAUGGAAUGAGAGAUUGGAGUGCUCAUUUGACCUCAGUCUUGCUAAAGAAGCAAAUGAUUGUCAAGAUCCAGCAGCUGGAGAUGAGAAUUCAAUGUUUGACAAGGAGUCCAGCUACCCAAUGGAUGUUCUUCAGCUGAAAAGAAGGAACUCUUAUAUCAGAGAAACUGAUAUUCCUGGAAAAACAGGCCAGUGUGCACCCAGGCUCUCCUUCAAGUCUGAGCUGCAGCAGGGAGCUCCAGAUUCUUUCUCAGCAGUGGUUUACCAGUUUGGGAUGGGCAAGACUGUUGUGGCUGUGAUCAGGGAAGAAGCCAGACUCUUUGAUCCCUCGCUUUUUACGUGGUGGUUUUCAGUCUGGCUGCACUGUGGAGCAAGUCAGCUGCAUCCCUGUGUGAGAAACACAUGCUCACUGUCAGGGGAUGGUGAAAGAGGAAACCAGACUGGGUUGGUGAUCUCAGGUGAUCUGUUUGGAAUUGUUGCAGUCAUGGAUGGAAAUAUUUGUGGCAGUUUUCUCCUCCCAUGAAUUGCAGGGUAGUGUCAUCUUCAGCUGUCCACAGUCUUGCUGUUCUACCUUUCCCUGAGCUCAGAGUGACUGUGGUUGUCUCCACUUUGCUCUUCAUGGCAUGUAGUGGGUCCAGUGAAUGUGACUUUACAGGGAAAACACUCAUAAAUACAACAUCACUCUGACCUUUAAAUCCCAUCUCUGAUCCUUCCCAAAGACACCGUUACAUAACCAUCGUGUAAACUGUCUCCAAAAAAACUAAGAAAUGCCUCUUGUAAAAAUACCCUACCUCCAUCAUGGAGCUAUUGUGAAAACACACUGAGGAGACCAAAAAUACUGCCAAGGAGCUAUCAAGAGUAAGCCCAAAUUCCCACAGAGGAGCCAUUGUAAACAUAACCAUAAAAAAUGGAGGGAUCAUUGUACAAAUCCCUUCAAAAGGCCCUCACGAGAAUACUUCCAAAUAUCACACAAAAGAUUUUUAAUACUGGAUACUUUGUGGGAUUUUUUGGUUGUUUUUUUUUUUAAUGGUCCUUUUAAUGAGGUGUUUAUUGCCAUGCUUUGACAUUACAGAUCACUUCCAAAAUGGCUUUUAUGUGAUGUUAUUGGGGCAACUUUAGAAUCACCAACAUGUUUCCAGUAAAUCCAUAUGGUUUUGACUCUAGGUCAGCUUUAAAUUGCCUUGAUGAUUUUCACAAUUGUUUCAUCAGUGAUACCCUGAGGACAUUUUCUAAAUAUCCCUUCAAUAGGAUCUCUGAGAUGUCAGAUAAAUUUCUUUGCUGGGGCCUUAGAUCUAUGUAUUUUCAUAGCUGCCUUUGGCUGUGCUUUCUCGUGUGCUGUGUCUGUAGUUCAGAAUUUUUCCAGCUUUCACAGGAUUCAUAGAAUGUUUGGUUCCUGGGCUGGGACUUUGGAUAAUUUUUCAAUUUGUUCUGUCCUUUAGGUGAGAGCUUGGAGUCAAUUUAAAGUCAAUCCCUUAACCUUGGGAUAUCAAGGCUCUGGAAUUGGGGGUGUCUUCAGGAAUAUU